rnacentral:rRNA from 1 species
GAUGAACGCUGGCGGCGUGCCUAAUACAUGCAAGUCGAGCGAACGGACGAGAAGCUUGCUUCUCUGAUGUUAGCGGCGGACGGGUGAGUAACACGUGGAUAACCUACCUAUAAGACUGGGAUAACUUCGGGAAACCGGAGCUAAUACCGGAUAAUAUUUUGAACCGCAUGGUUCAAAAGUGAAAGACGGUCUUGCUGUCACUUAUAGAUGGAUCCGCGCUGCAUUAGCUAGUUGGUAAGGUAACGGCUUACCAAGGCAACGAUGCAUAGCCGACCUGAGAGGGUGAUCGGCCACACUGGAACUGAGACACGGUCCAGACUCCUACGGGAGGCAGCAGUAGGGAAUCUUCCGCAAUGGGCGAAAGCCUGACGGAGCCACGCCGCGUGAGUGAUGAAGGUCUUCGGAUCGUAAAACUCUUUUAUUAGGGAAGAACAUAUGUGUAAGUAACUGUGCACAUCUUGACGGUACCUAAUCAGAAAGCCACGGCUAACUACGUG